rnacentral:lncRNA from 1 species
GAUAAAUGCACGCAUCCCCCCCGCGAAGGGGGUCAGCGCCCGUCGGCAUGUAUUAGCUCUAGAAUUACCACAGUUAUCCAAGUAGGAGAGGAGAUCGGGAGGAGGGGGACCCGGAGGCUCCCGCCCCACAGACACAGACACACACACCCCCAGCAGACGGAGCGGACCCCGAGCGACGGCGGGCACGGAGUCGGGCGCGGGGGUUCGGGGUGGGGACGCGGUGGCAACCAGGGCACACCAAACGCCACCCAAGGAGGGCGACUCACAGUGUCCCUCCUACACCCCGCCCAGACCGACCGGCGCCCGCACACACGCGACGCCGGCCGCCACACCAAGUCCACGACGCAACGGCCCGGAGGAACCAGCCACAACACACCCGCGGGACUCGGGGCACACGCGCGAGCACCACCACCGCCGCGGAGCCACCAACGCCACCGGGGGGGGGGAGCUGGGGGGGUGACGACGCCUCCCCCUCCUCCUCCUUCCCCCACGCACGCCAACAAGCCAACGCGCGACACCACAGCCGUCCGGGGCGGUUCCACACACGUAAGGGGAGGCGAAACACAGCAGGGUCACGGCGACCCGGGUCGGGAAGCGGAUGAGAAAGAGAGCAAAGGAGACGGGGGCCAGGGCCGCCCGGCAGGCAGAGGAAGGCGCGGGCAAAGGGCGACGGGGAAGGACCAGGGCCACCCACGCGACGACGGUGCGG